rnacentral:rRNA from 1 species
UGGGGAAUUUUGGACAAUGGGCGAAAGCCUGAUCCAGCAAUGCCGCGUGUGUGAAGAAGGCCUUCGGGUUGUAAAGCACUUUUGUCCGGAAAGAAAUCCUUGGCUCUAAUACAGUCGGGGGAUGACGGUACCGGAAGAAUAAGCACCGGCUAACUACGUGCCAGCAGCCGCGGUAAUACGUAGGGUGCAAGCGUUAAUCGGAAUUACUGGGCGUAAAGCGUGCGCAGGCGGUUUGCUAAGACCGAUGUGAAAUCCCCGGGCUCAACCUGGGAACUGCAUUGGUGACUGGCAGGCUAGAGUAUGGCAGAGGGGGGUAGAAUUCCACGUGUAGCAGUGAAAUGCGUAGAGAUGUGGAGGAAUACCGAUGGCGAAGGCAGCCCCCCUGGGCCAAUACUGACGCUCAUGCACGAAAAGCGUGGGGAGCAAACAGGAUUAGAUACCCCUGGUAGUCCACGCCCCUAAAACGAUGUCAACUAGUUGUUGGGGAUUCAUUUUCCUUAGUAACGUAGCUAACGCGUGAAGUUGACCGCCUGGGGAGUACGGUCGCAAGAUUAAAACUUAAAUGAAUUGACGGGGUCAUAGCUGUUUCCU